GACGUAGGGCGCGAGCGUUGUCCGGAUUUAUUGGGCGUAAAGAGCUCGUAGGCGGCUUGUCGCGUCGACUGUGAAAACCCCGCGGCUCAACUGCGGGCUUGCAGCCGAUACGGGCAGGCUAGAGUUCGGUAGGGGAGACUGGAAUUCCUGGUGUAGCGGUGAAAUGCGCAGAUAUCAGGAGGAACACCGGUGGCGAAGGCGGGUCUCUGGGCCG
rnacentral:rRNA from 1 species